AUUAUUGUCGUUCGUUGCUGAAAAAUAGAAAGAAGUUGUAUUCAGAAAAGUCCGUACCUAACUAUAUUCUUUAAAAAAUGACAUCAAUUUUAUUCAAGUUAAACGUUAUACUUAUUGUGCUAUACGUCAGCAUGACGUUUAUCCAUUUGUCGUCACAAGGCUAUAAUGGGGAUAAAUCACCGGCAGUAACUGAAGAAGGUGGUACAAACACUCAAACUGCUGAAAAUAAAGAAGGUGGUACAAAUACUCAAACUGCUGAAAAUAAAAAAGGUGAUACAAAUACUCAAACUGCAGAAAAAAGUUUCAACAAUAAUUUUCUUACAACUGAAAAAGAAGUGACACAUAUAAUAAUACCUCAAGUCUUUUCUUUUCCUUAAAUUCAAUUUAUAAUUUAUAUAAUAUAUCAAAUAAAAGAUAAACGGAAUUAAAAUUUCAACUUCGAUUCAAAUCAAUUAUUUUUAGCAGAUUUUUAAUAAAUUAUUUUAAAUGUAUUAAGAGUAAAUGUUUAUUGUAAUUGUUAGUCUUAAGUCAUAAAUUAUAAAAUAAUAUUUUAUUUGAAUAAACUAUAUAUGAAUCGUGUACCGUGUACCGUGUAUGGAGGUCUUCACCCUCGACGCAGAGUACAGUAAAAUAAUCUUAAGAUAACGAUAUUCAAAUAUUUAUAUAUAUAUAAUUCUUCAGUGUAUACAUUUACUGAUGUUAGCAAAGGUGGGCAUUAACUAGUUAAAAAGUUAAAGUUAAGUUAAAAAGUUAAUUUUUUUUAACUUUUCAACUUAAUUAGUUAGUUUAUUUUCUAAUCAACUUAUGAACUUAACUAGUUUAAUUUACAGUUGAAAUAACUUAGCUUUUCUCAGUUGCUUUUAAAAAAAAUCCAUCAAGUUAAAAACAUUUUGAAUUUUUCGUUUAUACGUAAAUAUUACUACGUCAGUAUAAAAUAAAAAUAAUCCAAUACAAACAUUUUUGUUCUUUUUCUUGAUAACAUAAUUUUGUGUACCUAUAUUCAUAUAUUUUAUUAAGUUGUAAAUUAUAUAUUUAUAUAUUAUGCGAAUUGCAAUUAUAAAUGUUAUUAAAAAAUUAAUCAUUUUAAAUUAUAAAUUGACAAUUGUUAUGUUUUAAUGUUAUAUAACUUAUAUUAUUCAAUUGCUAUAUGAUGUAAAAAAAUAUAUUUGUUAAAUUAUUAAUUUUUAAAUUAGUAAAUAAUAGUUAAGUAAAAGUAAAAGCGUAUACAGUGUACAUUAUGAUAAAAGUUCAAUAAAAUUGUUUUUUAUAA